rnacentral:rRNA from 1 species
ACGGGAGGCAGCAGUGGGGAAUAUUGGGCAAUGGGGGAAACCCUGACCCAGCAACGCCGCGUGAAGGAAGAGGGCCUUCGGGUUGUAAACUUCUUUUACCAGGGACGAAGAAUGACGGUACCUGGAGAAAAAGCAACGGCUAACUACGUGCCAGCAGCCGCGGUAAUACGUAGGUUGCAAGCGUUGUCCGGAUUUACUGGGUGUAAAGGGCGUGUAGGCGGAGCUGCAAGUCAGAUGUGAAAUCCCGGGGCUUAAACCCGGAACUGCAUUUGAAACUGUAGCGCUUGAGUAUCGGAGAGGCAAGCGGAAUUCCUAGUGUAGCGGUGAAAUGCGUAGAUAUUAGGAGGAGCACCGGUGGCGAAGGCGGCUUGCUGGGCGACAAUUGACGCUGAGGCGCGAAAGCGUGGGGAGCGAACAGGAUUAGAUACCCUGGUA